UACGUAGGGUGCGAGCGUUAAUCGGAAUUACUGGGCGUAAAGCGUGCGCAGGCGGUUUUGUAAGCCGGAUGUGAAAUCCCCGGGCUUAACCUGGGAAUGGCAUUCGGGACUGCAAGGCUGGAGUGCGGCAGAGGAGACUGGAAUUCCUGGUGUAGCAGUGAAAUGCGUAGAUAUCAGGAGGAACACCGAUGGCGAAGGCAGGUCUCUGGGCUGACACUGACGCUCAUGCACGAAAGCGUGGGGAGCAAACGGG
rnacentral:rRNA from 1 species